AUCCACUCAGCCCAUCACAGUUAUGUGAGAGUGUGCCGGGUGAUGAUCUGCCAUCCUUCUAAUAUUGAUAGAAAGGAAUUUGUCGAAAGAUAGAUUCUUUUCUUAUUAACAUUAGAUCUUUUACUUUGAAAAAAUUAGAGUGUUUCAAGCAGGCUUUAUGCUAUGAAUACAUUAGCAUGGAAUAAUAAUUUAGGACUUCGGUUCUAUUUUGUUGGUUUCUAGGACUGAAGUAAUGAUUGAUAGGGAUAGUUGGGGGUGCUAGUAUUCAGCGGCCAGAGGUGAAAUUCUCGGAUUCGCUGAAGACUAACUUAUGCGAAAGCAUU
rnacentral:rRNA from 1 species